AAAAUAAGUAAGGGCAGACGGUGGAUGCCUUGGCUCUCGGAAGCGAAGAAGGACGUGAUAAGCUGCGAUAAGCUGCGGGUAUUGGCACAUACAAAUUGAUCCGCAGAUUUCCGAAUGGGGCAACCCGUUAGGUAGGAGACCUAACACUAUGUUAUACAUAGAGCAAACGUGGGGAACUGAAACAUCUAAGUACCCAUAGGAAAAGAAAACAAAAGUGAUUCCCUUAGUAGUGGCGAGCGAACGGGGAUUAGCCCAAACCGUAGAUGUUUCGGCAUUUGCGGGG
rnacentral:rRNA from 1 species